rnacentral:tRNA from 1 species
GCCCACAUAGCUCAGUAGGAUAGAGCAUGCGCCUUCUAAGCGUAGGGUCAGAAGUUCGAAUCUUCUUGUGGGCGCCA